rnacentral:rRNA from 1 species
GAUGAACGCUAGCUACAGGCUUAACACAUGCAAGUCGAGGGGCAGCAUGACCUAGCAAUAGGUUGAUGGCGACCGGCGCACGGGUGAGUAACACGUAUCCAACCUGCCGAUUAUUCCGGGAUAGCCUUUCGAAAGAAAGAUUAAUACUGGAUAGCAUAACGAGAAGGCAUCUUCUUGUUAUUAAAGAAUUUCGAUAAUCGAUGGGGAUGCGUUCCAUUAGUUUGUUGGCGGGGUAACGGCCCACCAAGACAUCGAUGGAUAGGGGUUCUGAGAGGAAGGUCCCCCACAUUGGAACUGAGACACGGUCCAAACUCCUACGGGAGGCAGCAGUGAGGAAUAUUGGUCAAUGGACGAGAGUCUGAACCAGCCAAGUAGCGUGAAGGAUGACUGCCCUAUGGGUUGUAAACUUCUUUUAUAUGGGAAUAAAGUGGGCCACGUGUGGCUUUUUGUAUGUACCAUACGAAUAAGGAUCGGCUAACUCCG